GACGAAGGAUGCAAGCGUUAUCCGGAUUCAUUGGGUUUAAAGGGAGCGUAGGUGGCCUUAUAAGUCAGUGGUGAAAUCUCUGGGCUUAACCCAGAAAUUGCCAUUGAUACUGUAGGGCUUGAGUACAGUUGCUGUGGGGCGGAAUAUGACAUGUAGUGGUGAAAAUACAUAGAGAUGUCAUAGAACACCGAUUGCGAAGGCAGCUCACAAAAACUGUAACUGACACUGAGGCUCGAAAGUGCGGGGGAUCGAAACAGG
rnacentral:rRNA from 1 species